CAAUAGCAUAUAUUAACGUUGUUGCAGUUGAAAAGCUCGUAGUUGAACUUUUGGUAGGAGCGACCUGGCCUUGGGCGCAUGCCCUUGUUUGCCGUGUGUCGUAUCUGGCCAUCCUUUUCUUCUUUUGGAAGGAAUCUUUUACUGUGAGUAAACUGGAGUGCUCAAAACAAGACGUUUGUUUGGUACAUUAAAGCAUGGAAUAAUAAGAUAGGACCUGGUUACUAUUUUGUUGGUUUGCAUAGCUAGGUAAUGAUUAACGGGGACAGUUGGGGGUAUUCGUAUUUAAUUGUCAGAGGCGAAAUUCUUGGAUUUAUGAAAGACGAACGACUGCGAAAGCAUUUACCAAGGAUGUUUUCAUUAA
rnacentral:rRNA from 1 species